UUAAAAAUAGUCAAAAUGCUAAAACAUUGAUUUUUCAACCUCAGGAACAAUAGGUAAUCCAAUAUUGAUUUAUUGAUGUUUUAUUAAGAAUUUAUAAUGCUGAACUUAAUAUUUAAACAAGUAAUAGAGAAGUUUGUACAUCAGUAAAAUCAAUUUGUUUAUGUUUAAUCGAAAACAGGCCAAAAUCGAGCAUUUUUAAGCAUCUUGGGAGCUGUUUUCACAGUGUUCUUGUUACCAUGGCAACUGUACCUCAAUUUCGAAUUUUGGUACCAAAUUCUAUGAGAGGGUAUCAAAUAAUCACUAUAUGCCAAAUUUCAGCAAAAUCGCAUACAUGCCAACUUUCCCGAUUUAGGCGGGAUCUUCCCGAUUUUACCCUCCGGUCCCGCUUUCCCCAUCGGGAAAGCAAAAUUACCCUAAAAUCCCGAUUUGAAAUUUUUUCCGACCAAAAUUUCCGAUUUCACGAUUGAAAACGAGUUUGAAAGCGGGAUAAUCGUGAAAUCUCGUGACCAGAAUUGGAAAUCCCGCGUCAUUCUGAACUGGCCAAUCAGAAAUCGGGACAAUAGUCAGCCAUUGCUGUUUACCUGUGUCGCAUGGUGUCGGGUUGGUCUGCCUGUGUCGGGGUGUUUAUUGGACAGUACGAAGCAUGUUUUCAUAGUAAUUAAUCGGGAAGACGGAUUUCAAAUUGACCUAUCCUUUACACAAACGUGAAUGACAACGAUGCUAGUGUCACCACCAAACAAUCGGACAUUCCGCCUCUCGCUGACAGCAUCCAAAAUUUGCAAUAAGAUGUCAUGGGUGCAAAGGUUUUGUUCGCAAACUUCAUAGCAGGACAGAUCACUACUUUUUUUGGUUGCAAUGCAGAUUAUUCCACCAGUCUCUGCAAGCCCAUGUUUACAGACAAGCAAGAUCGCCUUUGCAGUCGUACCUUAAUGCAUGUGCUUUAAUUUAAAUUUUGAUAUAUAGACCGGCCAAUGUUUAUUGUAUGGUGUAAAAGGAUGCAACCUUAAAUAUUAUUUGAUAUUAUGUAUGUGACUUGUUGGAGAAGAUUUUUUGCUGAAUAGAUGAUUUUAAUAAAAUAUUAAUGUAUA